AGGGUUUGAUCCUGGCUCAGAUUGAACGCUGGCGGCAGGCCUAACACAUGCAAGUCGAACGGUAACAUUUCUAGCUUGCUAGAAGAUGACGAGUGGCGGACGGGUGAGUAAUGCUUGGGAACUUGCCUUUGCGAGGGGGAUAACAGUUGGAAACGACUGCUAAUACCGCAUAAUGUCUUCGGACCAAACGGGGCUUCGGCUCCGGCGCAAAGAGAGGCCCAAGUGAGAUUAGCUAGUUGGUAAGGUAACGGCUUACCAAGGCGACGAUCUCUAGCUGUUCUGAGAGGAAGAUCAGCCACACUGGGACUGAGACACGGCCCAGACUCCUACGGGAGGCAGCAGUGGGGAAUAUUGCACAAUGGGGGAAACCCUGAUGCAGCCAUGCCGCGUGUGUGAAGAAGGCCUUCGGGUUGUAAAGCACUUUCAGUUGUGAGGAAAAGUUAGUAGUUAAUACCUGCUAGCCGUGACGUUAACAACAGAAGAAGCACCGGCUAACUCCGUGCCAGCAGCCGCGGUAAUACGGAGGGUGCGAGCGUUAAUCGGAAUUACUGGGCGUAAAGCGCACGCAGGCGGUUUGUUAAGCUAGAUGUGAAAGCCCCGGGCUCAACCUGGGAUGGUCAUUUAGAACUG
rnacentral:rRNA from 1 species